AAAUUAUGUUGUUCGACAUUGGUUUUAUAUAUGUUAGAGAGUCAUCAAGAAAUUAUGAAUCUUCAGAUGUUAGUUGCCUAAGAGCACCAGGAGUAUUACACAGAGAAUUCACUAAUCAUGAUCUGUUAAGAUUUUGGCAUAAUUUAUUUGAUGCACAGGGUUGAUUGAAAUGGGCACAGUGGGCCAUUCUUUUUUGCUGAGCAAUAAGCACUCAGAACCUGAAAGAUGCUUCCGAGAAACACAUACAUUAUCCAUUUAGAAACAACCAUGUGAUGCUCCCAGACUGGCACGUUGUUUGAAUCUGACAGGCAAAUAUCAUCCAGUUCCCAUCAUGAAUAAUUGCCUGUCUACUGUAAUAUCAUAUAGUUUCUAGUUCCUUGAUAGCAGUUCUGGAUGCUGUUAUUUGAUAUGCAAGAAGUCAGUAUUUCUUGGUAGCCUAUUUGAGUGUAUGAUGCCACCGGGCCACAGGGCCCACAGCCAGCCCCCUACUGUGCAUGAUGCCGUCCCUCCAGACUCCAACCUACUUCGUACACUACAUGCCAAUUGGAUGGACAAAAUCCUCCACCGAACAUCCUGCCAUUAUGUAGGACAAAAAUUGUGACCUAAGAUGGGCACUGCCAAUAAUUGAUGAAGACGAACCAUAUUAUAUUGGCAUAAGUACGCCCCGACUUUUGUACAGAGAACUUCCUUAAGUCUUCGUACACUAUAUAGCAACGACCAUCUUCUCCAGAUCCAGACCCCCGACCCCACAUCUUUCAGAUCGGAGACAUUUUGGGUCUGCGCUCACGGCAAGCUGUCCGGCACUGCAAGCAGGAUCGAUGGCUGGAGGGCGGCUGCAGAUCGAAAAACUCUUGCCAGUGCAGUUUCUGCUGCUCGUUAGCCUUGUGCUUCAAAUCACCCUCUUCCUCUGCGCCGGGGUACGUCGGAUUGAUAACUCCGGCGGCGGGUUGCGGGGGGCACUCCUCUGGCUGGCAUACAAUUCCGCCGAUUCCGUUUCCGCAUUUACCAUGACCCGAUUGUGGUUCAUUAGCAAUAGUAACCACUCACUUGCCACGCUAUGGGCACCAUUCCUCUUGCUGCACCUUGGCGGUCCAGACAACAUUGUAGCCUACGCAUUGCAAGACAAACAACUCUCACUUCGCAGCCUGCCAAUAGUUUUGACCCGGGUCAUCGUAGGAGCGUAUUUCCUUUACGCGAAUGGAGAUGAUAGCGGGAAUUUCGUUCUGCUUGCCUCCUGUCUGAUGUUUGCUGUGGGUGCUGCUAAGUACGGAGAAAGGUGGUGGGCACUGCAGAAAGGCAACCUCGGCAGCAUCCGCGACUCGGUAAAAAAGUACAAAUCUACUCCUAUGCAUCGUCAUGUUCACCCACAAGACAUAGUGUUGAAGAAGGUAAAUGGUUUGGACAGGUUGGACGAGGAAUCCCAUCUGCGACGAGCUCACUCGUUGAUCGACGUUUGCAAGCGUGCGAUAGUUGGUUCUUCAGAAAGGGAAAAAAAAGACCGACACAUGACAAAAAUGAUGUUCUACGUCGAGUAUUGGACACUUGCAGAGAUGCAACUCUCCAUCAUGUAUGAGAUCUUGUACACCAAGGCGGCUGUGAUUCACACGUGGCACGGUUACUCCAUCCGUGUCUUGUCGCCACUCGCCAUUUUAGCAUCACUGCUGCUGUACCAGUCCAGUGGAGAAGCAGACUGACACGGAGGACUAUUUGACACUGCUGUCACAUACGUUUUGUUUGUCGCUGCCUUGUCCAUGGAGUCGAUUUCCCUGCUGAACACGCUGGGGUCCUCAUGGAUGUUUGCAUACCUGACUUCCACAAGAUUCUCAUGGCACUUGCUUCGGAAUCAGGUAGUUUCUCUCAGCCGUCUUGUCACUUGUGGACGAAGCAGGUACCAAGCAAGGAGGUGGUCUGGCAACAUGGGACAGUACAACAUGCUGCACUUUUGCACUCGCCCUGACACUCUCCUCACCGGCCGUCCUCUGCUCGGCACGCUGGCCGGGCUGGUGGGACUCGAAGAGUUCUGGAACAGGAAGCAUUUCUCCGGGACCGUUAAUUUAUCGGACCAUGUCUCCAUCAAAGUGUGUAUCGGUCAACACGCUCAGCGGCUGAACAUGAAGGCCGGGGGAUUAAACACACUGGGAAUGGUCGUACGUCCCUGGGCCAUGACAGCACUGUCACGUCAUAACCUGGAAGAGAAAUUCAAAGGUAUCCUUGGCGAGGAGUUUCAGGAGGGCGUCAUCAUAUUACACAUCGCCACGGAAUUUUUCCUGGCCGAGUGCGAGAGUGCCAGCCCCGACGGGGAUCAUCUUGUGAAGGAGAUCAAGGCGCUGUCAAAUUACAUGAUGUUCCUUCUUGUAGAACGCCCCUACAUGCUGCCAGGCAUCCACCAAAGCGAGUUGUACGAACGGAUCUGUGACGCUCUCACGAAGGACGUGAGCCAUCGCCCAAGAAGUAUUUGUGCGUUGCUCAGGAGUUCGUUCCACUACCACGAUGACCCAGCUGGCUAUAAUUCCAGGGCCAACGACAGUAAGAUGCUUGCCGAAAAGUUAUACCAUAGGCAUAAGGGUCAAGAGUUCAUCUGUGAGACUGUUCGACUCACCUAUUCAGCUUCAGUUGCCGAACAACUGCUGGUAUAUCAGAAGGACCAUGGUCCUAGUGAGUCGUUGAAACUGUUGCUUGAAGUGUGGGCGGACAUGCUCGUCUAUGCAGGGAACAAAUGCAGCAGGGAGUCACAUGCAAAGAAGCUCAGCAGUGGCAGCGAGUUGACAACCAUCGUGUGGCUUAUGCUGGAACUUUUCUACCAAAUUGACUACCACGUCCACACUGAUGAUAAUUAUGGAGUAUAGAGCCAAAUCCUUGUUUCAGUCACUUCUAGCCAUAUUUGAUUGUACCUAAUGUCCUUGAUUCUAUGUUGUUACGCUUUUUUAAUACGGUUUUCAUAUUAAGAAGUUGUUUGUUUUUUA